GACGUAGGGCGCGAGCGUUGUCCGGAUUUAUUGGGCGUAAAGAGCUCGUAGGCGGCUUGUCGCGUCGAAUGUGAAAUCCUGCGGCUCAACUGCAGGCUUGCAUUCGAUACGGGCAGGCUCGAGUUCGGUAGGGGAGACUGGAAUUCCUGGUGUAGCGGUGAAAUGCGCAGAUAUCAGGAGGAACACCGGUGGCGAAGGCGGGUCUCUGGGCCGAUACUGACGUGAGGAGCGAAAGCCGUGGGGAGCGAACAGG
rnacentral:rRNA from 1 species